GCCUAAAUAAGACGCCCUUUCGCCCAUUCUAUCUCAAACUCCAAAGGUGCGACAAUAAAAACAACUCUUCACCAAUUCGACCGUAUUUCGCUCUCCCUAUUUUUCUUCGGUUCUUUCUACUCCCCCUGCUCUUGCCAACCUCACUUUUUCCAAUAGAUAUGUGAAAUCGGCGUUCGAAAUCCCUCCUGAUUUUGAAAUUCUUCCACCCAGCGGACAAAAAUCCCAACAGACCGCCCAAUAUGUUGCUUUUCCAUUCUCAACCACUUUGUUUUACUUCUGCCACAUGAAUUGCUUCCAUGUACUUUCCUACUACUUCAUUGGUCUACUUAUAGUUCGAAUCCCAUAUGUUUUGAAAUAAAAUUUGAAUCUCCAAAAGCACUUUACAACUUCCAUGAGACUUUUCAACGUUGGAUAGAUUGGACUUUGCAAAUUGAAUCCGGAGAAGAUGAAGCGGAAGGUUGUCAACAAAUUUCUCAAAGAUGGUGCUAUUUUACUCUCUUUUUUAACUUUGGAAGAUCCAACUUUAAUUCCUCUGUGUAAUCUCUAUGGCAUAUGCACGGCAAGCACAGGUGAGAAGAGAGAAAAUAAGUGAAAGAAUGAAGCUUCUUCAAGAACUGACACCACACUACGCUAAAUUACUUAUGGUGACUGAAAACUCUGUGAUGCUCUACAAGAUCAUUGACUAUGUGCAAUCCAUUCAGCAGCAAAUUAGGUAAAUUACUUAGGCGGCAUUUGUUUACGGUGGUUGGUUUGCAAACUAAGAGUUCGAGUUCUCCGAAAAAGUGGUAGGUUUACAUUUCUAUUCUAUUUCCUUAUUUUGGUAAUGUAAUAGAUAGGAAAUUCCUAAAACUGUUCAACAAAAGAUAAGUUCAUAAAUU